rnacentral:lncRNA from 1 species
GCCACUACAUAAUUUUGUACUUUAUUUGAAAUUCCCCCUAAAAUAUUAUAUAUACAAGGACCAUCUUGUUUUGUUUUUUUUUUCUUUAGAAGACCAUUUUGUUUUCUAUAUAACAAGUUAAUAACUAUAUAAUUAAAGUUAAUUUGAGGUUGAUGUCGAAUCUUCUUCCAUGUAAAAGAUGUUGCAACUUGUAACCUAUUGUAUUAAAUUUGAC